rnacentral:rRNA from 1 species
AUUGAACGCUGGCGGCACGCCUAACACAUGCAAGUCGAGCGGCAGCGAGACUAGUAGCAAUACUAGUUGUCGGCGAGCGGCGGACGGGUGAGUAACACGUAGGAAUCUGCCCUUAAGCGGGGGAUAACCAAGGGAAACUUUGGCUAAUACCGCAUAAUCUCGAGAGAGCAAAGCUGCCCGCAAGGGUGGCACGUGAGGAGGAGCCUGCGUCCGAUUAGCUAGUUGGUGGGGUAAGGGCCGACCAAGGCGAUGAUCGGUAACUGGUCUGAGAGGACGACCAGUCACACUGGGACUGAGACACGGCCCAGACUCCUACGGGAGGCAGCAGUGGGGAAUAUUGGACAAUGGGGGCAACCCUGAUCCAGCGAUGCCGCGUGAGUGAAGAAGGCCUUCGGGUCGUAAAGCUCUUUAGGUUGGGAAGAAGUGUAUUGGCUGAAUAAUCCAGUACAUUGACGGUACCGACAGAAUAAGCACCGGCAAACUCUGUGCCAGCCGCCGCCGUAAAAC